CAGUAGCUCAAUGGAUAGAGCGCCGGCCUUCUAAGCCGUAGGUUACAGGUUCGAGUCCUGUCUG
rnacentral:tRNA from 1 species